rnacentral:lncRNA from 1 species
CCGGCUCCUCCUUCUCCGCUCUCCUCUUCUCUCUCCCUAUUUUCUAGAUUACAACUAGAACUAACUAGAACUAGAACUGGAAGAACUAGAACUAGAACUAGAUGAACUAGAACUAGAUCUAGAUGAAAUAGAGGUAGAACUAGAAGAACUAGAGGGAUCCUCUCUACUUGGAUGAAGAAUUGAAACCCUAACUUUGAUUCUGUAGAAGAGGUAUGGUCUCCGGGGGCCAGGGGGGUCUGGUUUUAUAGUCCCUUCAAGUGAAUCUGGGCCAUCGGAUCAAACCGACAUUGAUCGUGUGGUUUUCCUUGAUCCUUUAGGUCGGUGGAGCGUUGUCCGCAAAGUUGGACGUGUUUGACUACAACUCCUGGGCGGGCGCCCAAGGGGGGUGGGCGGGCGCUCUGCCCCCGGGCCCGUUCGCCUUCCCGUUCGUUCCCGUGGCUUCUGGAGUCUUCUAGAUGACGUAAAAUUGCGCGGCACGUUAAUAUCUCUAUGUCAACCCGACGUGUGGGCCUUUCUUCCGUAUUUCCUGAUAACCCCCUGCAGAAAUAGACAAACACCAAAACUUGUGGAAUUAUGUCAGAUAAAACCCUAAGUCUAGGUGUUGGUUGCAUUUGGAUCCUUUUCCAUGAUUAGUUGAUGGUUAAUUGUGAGCAUUAAGGACCGUCAACAAGCUCCCCCAAGCUUAACCUUUGCUCGUCCCUGAGCAAAGAUGAACUCAAGAGUUUCUACAGUGGUUUCAUAACUUAAAGAUACACAUGCGUUUAAACAAGAUCUCAUCUCUGGUUAGAGUAAACUGUUAAGGCUUAAUGCUUAUUCAUUUACCUUUCACCAUGGGGCUUGUAACCGUCACUUUUGUCUUGAGCAGUUAAAAGAUAGAACGGUCUAGUCAAGCACCAUGUCUAAUGUUCUUAAUCAACUAUAGCUCUGGAGUUUUUGUAGAUUUUCAAAUAAAACUCUGAGAUUCCUUGUAUGACUCUCUCUAGUCUCUCUUUUGUGGUAUUUCUGGAUCCUUACCAAGGCAGUAUUGGUAUAUGCCUUCUCUCAAAGUAUGUGGUAUUUUUGGUAUAAGGCAUAGUGACAUUGCCUUCUCUCUCACCCUACUAAUAAGGCUUUUGAUAUCUGGAGCUCAUAGGUGGGAGACAGCUAAUACAUACUUACAAGACAUUUAUUGUAUAGUCAAACCAUGGAUCCAAAGAAACAAAUCAAUAAAUCAAAUCAAGAUGUGCAUGUGUGGCGAAUGAAUGGUGUAUGGUGAUGAUGGUGAUAACAAUGGUGAAAGUCUAAUUCUACUUAUGCUCUUUUGAGGGGAUACAUACCUUUCUUGCUCUUUUGAAACUUUUUGAGGAGAAUGAGAUGCUCUAUAUUUUCUUUUUCUUUUCUCUCAGGUGGGUAUCUUGUACCCCUAAUUCUACUGUCGGACACUUGUCCAUUUUUACCUCUUGUCUCACUUUUUUUUCUUUUCUUUCGAGGUUCCGGGCACUUGCCCCUUUUUAUUUCCUCGUAUCUUUUUUUUCUUCUUCUUUUUUUUUUCUCUUUUUUUUUCUCUUUUUUUUCGAGCACUCAUCUCCUGAAAUAAUAUAGCAAGUGGUAGUAACCAAGAUAACUUGAGCAUAUAUUUCACAAGGGAAAAACAGAAAUGUUUUUGGCUAUUCUCUCCCUGAUUAGGAGUAGAAUAUUUUUUUGGGUGGUUCUGGGGAUGGAAAUGGGUGGAUAUAUGUGGAUGGUACUUCUGGAGUAGAAGUAGCAUGUGUGAGUGAACGUGCAAGUGAAUCUUGAUUUUAACCAUAUGACAAGCUCCUAAGGGUCUACACAGCUUGACCACACUCAAUGCUCAUAAGCAGCAAAAAGUAAAUAUGUGGCUCAAAGUCUAGUAAGCAUGUAUAUAUGGCUGUGGUAGGAAUUUAAACUCUCAUCAUACAGGAACUCAUCAUGCAACAUUUUAAAGAUUUUCAAAAAUAAAAUUCUCCAGAAUUCUAGCAUUUCUAGGAACAGAUAAACAGCAGCUCAACCUUCCCAUAUCGUAUCCGUUAACGACUUAGACUUUAGAUCAAGUACUCUCCCCACAAGUUCAGGUUUAGAGCAAAUCUUAAUUAAUACCAGUCAUACCUAAACUUGAGAAAGAUUUCAAUUUUAAGAACUAGUCAUGGUAGAGCAACUAUUCAUUAUUUCCAUGUGAGAUCUUAUCAUGAGGGUUCAUAGCAAACUUUAUUUAUUUAUUUAUUUAGCAAACUAAGCAAAGAUAUAUAUAAGCACAAAAUCUUUAUUUGGGUUUCUAUGAUUAUGCAUCUUUUUAUUAUUAGAGUAAAGUAUAAACGUGAGUAGAAUACUUAGCUGGAUAAAUGGGGGUGCUCUCCCCCAAGCUGGAUUUUGACGCAAUUUCUUCUGAUGUAGCUAGCAGGUAGCAGAGAUGUAUUUGAAUGUCGGCAGCACCCUGACAGCGAGUAGGAUGUCCUCCGUCUGCUAAUCUUCUUUGAUCCUUGAAUUCUGUGGAGCUCAAAUAGACAACAAAGCUUUGUGGAACUGGUUAAGUCUUAGCAUAAAUAUCUAGCCUUUAUCAUGUUGAGCCUCCUCAAUAAAUGUUACUCUCUUUAGUAGGAUCAUAAAUUUAUUUUUAUAAUUUUAUUUUUAUAGGAUAGGAAUAUAUUUAUUUUAUUUUUAUGCCACCACAGUGAAUGUACUUAUGGGUUUUAUGCCAUGAGCAUACUCACAUGGGGCUUACUAUUUUUAACAUUUUUAUUUUCUUUUCAAGAUGAUAUGAACCUGAUUAACUAAAAUAAUUGAAAGGAAAAAGAUAACUACCAAGUUUACCUCUUGGCAAGGCGUUCGGUGUUUUUAAGUCUUCCGAACGGGACUCUCCGUUUCCUGAGUCAUUCUGGGAUUCGCUGGAUGGCGUAGUCGGUUGUUCCGGCGGCGUCUGCUCUUCGUGUAUAACUAUCUUCUUUAUCCACACCUAAAUUGGUGCUACGGUCUCCUCAGGACAGUUCUGUUCAAACUGUAUGUCUUCAGACAUUACCACUUCUCCUUCGUAGUCUGCCCAUCCGUCCUUGAUGACUUUGCCUUCUCUGGUUGCGGUUGCGUCGUCUCCUUCUUGUCCUGACCUACUUAGAGUCUUCAACUAUAGGGUCAGUAAAAUAGCAGCGUACCUUCUCAGAGGGGAAGUUCAUGUGGACUUCUCUGGUUCCAAUGUAGAUGAUUGCUUUAACGGUGCUGAGGAACGGACUUCUAAGGAUGACGGGUGGAUUGUACUCAUCUUCUCCCAUGACAAUAACCUUCAAAUCAUCUGGAGCUGAAUGUAUGUUGGUUGUAGGGGCAUGGUUCCAUAUAGGAGCUGAUAAGUGACUGCGGCCAUUAUGUUGACGUCAAAUCCGGUGUCGUAGAGUGUCUUCUAAAAAGAAUAUCCGUUGAUUGUGCACUUGAUGCUUGGAACACCAGGGUCGUCCUUCUUUAUCAAGAAAGGCGACUUGAGUUGACGAUCUUGACCUCCUUGAACUGCAGUGAGCAUCUUAGCCGACUUGGUCCACAUUUGCUUGCUUCAUGUCGGGAUUGCUCUGAGAUUUGUGUAAUUUUGUUCUUGAAGGAAAACGUCUCCUUCCUCCCCUUGAUGUAGAAACUGAUCUUGGCAGCACUAGCGUAGAUGACAGCUCCUGAGAUGUUCAGGAAUGGCCUCCCCUGGGCAUAAUGUUGACGCUGGAGCCAAAGUCGCAGAGUGCUUCUGGGAAAUUCACCAUGACAAUGGAGAUCGGGAUGAAGGUGCAUCCUGGAUCGCCUCUCUUGACCGGCAGAAGGUCAGUAAUUACUUCCACGGGUUACUCCAGUAGUUAUGUCCUCAAGCAUCUCAGGGCAGUGAUUGCCUGAGUGUCCAGUAUCUCCAGUGUGUUUGUGCUCGUAGAUCUAGGUUCAUCACUUGGUGGAGUCUGGGAGUUGUAAAAGUCCUUCAUAUUUUGCUUGAAGUGUACCUGCUCAUAGAGACAAGGCAGAGAUCAAGUGCAUGGGCCCUGCUGGUGGAAAACAACAACAGAACCAAAAGUGUAUUUGUUCUCUCUAACCUUAAGCAUAGUGAGCAAGACAAAGUUGAUGGAUAAUAAGAUCAUGAGUGUAGCAUUUAAAACAUUUGUCAGAUCAGAUCACUCAACCUAAUGGAAAGAUAAUCUAUCUAUACUUAUGUGUUUUCUCUUUUUUUUAUAUAUAUAUCUUCCAAAGACUGAGUGUGCAACACUUUAGCUCAUAUGAUUAGGAGUAUGGGAUCACAAAGGUGGAAGGACUAAAUAUAUUGAAUCGAUUGGGUUGGUUAAUCUAGAGUUGUAAAUCUUACAUGUUUGUCUCUUUUACUCAUGUGAAUGCUAAAAAUAAGGAGAAGCUUAUAGAAGUGAUAGUCAAGUACCUUAAGAUGUUACCUUACUUGAAGAGUGAUGGUACAGUAUCACUUUGUGGAAGCUUUCCUUUCUUAGCGAUUGUGCAUCGUGUUUGUGGCACCCUCCAUGGAUCAUCUCUUGUGAGCUAUGCCUUCCUUGUGUAAAUUGUUAAACUUCAUGUGUGUCUCUCUUUAUCUCCAAUGUGAGUAUCUCAGGACUUCCCAGGUCGAUAUUGAAAGUUUUCCUGCAGGGGUUAGUCCAACAAAAUAUCCAAUAUCUACUAUAGCAUACUAUCGGCUCAAAAAUCAACCUAGACACCAUGUCUAAUUUGAUUUAGGAGGGCAUUUUAACCUAAGCAUCAUGCUUAAUUUAAAAUCCUUUGGAAGUAAGAGCAUCAUUCCUAAACUAAGCACCAUGCUUAAUUAAGAGAUAAAUGAAACUACUCCAAACCUAGACAUAUACUAAUGCAAAUAAAGGUAGCAUGAGAGCAUUUAUAGAGAUCUACUCAAAUGGAGAUGAAGUAGUGUGAUUAGUAUUUAACAAUGGAUUGUGAAGAUGUUGCAUAUGAGCAUGGAGUAAAUGAAGUGGCUAUGAAAUAAAUUCCAUGCUCAUUAAUGCUUAGAGUGAAAUCCAUGUGGUAUGGUGAAAAUGAUAAGGUGAGUGUGAUAAAAAAGGAAAAGAAAAGGGAUACACGGACGACUUGGUUCGAAACUAGCACAGCUACCGUUCCCAGGCAACGGCGCCAGAAAGCUUGUUGGGUAUUUUAAAAGCAAACAGAAAAAUCCGCAAGCGCACAGAUACUGAUGUAGCUUUCACCCGGGAGUAUUCCAGAGUAUCGAUUUUCCACAGAGAACGUGAGUGUACUAAUUAAGAUCCAAGAUCGCCCAAGGAUAACUAUAUAAUUAUUUUUGGUGGGAAGAGAGGAAGUUUCCUGAGAGUUCUCUAGUUGAUCUAAGAAUCAAGAAUUACUUCAAGAUUAUCUAUAUCGGGACAUCAGAGCACUAACCACAGAAAGAGAUGAGAAAGGGGCUAGGAAGGUUUGACUACGGUCCUACAAACACCGAUCCGAACGAGGUGGAAUACGUCGACCGUUAGGGCUGUCACUACCCUAAGGCUACCACAACAAUCCGCAGGAUUGGGUGCAAUUCCAGGUAAUCGCAAGACUAAACACCACGUCUAAUCUAUUAAUUACUACUCUAGCGUUAUAAAGACUAGAGCACUUGAUGCAAGCGGGAAUCCAAUAAAUAACUUGAAUGUAAAUAAAAGUAAUUAAAGAACUCAGGAAUUAUGAAUUGAAGAACCUGGAGAACGAUGAAGAACGAACCAGUUGCUGCAAAAGUACAAUGUUGAGGAAGAUCCGAUAGAUCCGGCUCCUCCUUCUCCGCUCUCCUCUUCUCUCUCCCUAUUUUCUAGAUUACAACUAGAACUAACUAGAACUAGAACUAGAAGAACUAGAACUAGAACUAGAUGAACUAGAACUAGAUCUAGAUGAACUAGAGGUAGAACUAGAAGAACUAGAGGGAUCCUCUCUACUUGGAUAAAGAAUUGAAACCCUAACUUUGAUUCUGUAGAAGAGGUAUGGUCUCCGGGGGCCAGGGGGGUCUGGUUUUAUAGUCCCUUCAAGUGAAUCUGGGCCAUCAGAUCAAACCGACAUUGAUCGUGU